GGGGCUGUGGUGUGAUCCAGGAGGCUGAGAAUUAUGCAGUGGGUGCUGUCACCUUGAAGACAUCAGCGUGAUCAGGCAGAUCAUCAUGUCUUGUCUGCAUAGCAGGAUGCUGUGCCAAAUCAUCUCAGCAAAAGGUCUCUACAUCACGAUGUAGGCAAAGACAUUAGAGUGGGUGAAGAGAACCUCUUAUUACCUUUUCUGGGCCCAAUUUUCUCAUAAUGAACCUGCACAAGAUGAUCUCUAAGGUACUGCAUUUCCUGGACACGAUCUUAAUUUUCUUAAUACCUCCACCGACAUUUCAAAUAGCGUCUCUAAUGCCCCAGAGACUUUUAUGCCCCUAAGGU
rnacentral:lncRNA from 10 species